CUCUUUAACGGACGCGGACACCUGACUUGAGGUCCCAAUGGGCAAAUCAACCUGAUUUGCCCAUUGGGACCUCAAGUCAGGUGUCCGCGUCCGUUAAAGAGGGGUGU